GGCCUCCCAAAGUGCUGGGAUUACAGCCAUGAGCCAUAGCGCCCGUCCAAACUCCUUGUUCUAUUCUUUCCCCCUUCUCACUACUGCAGUUGACUAGUCUUUA
ensembl:misc_RNA Y_RNA Y RNA